rnacentral:sRNA from 1 species
UAAGCGGAGGAAAAGAAACUAACAAGGAUUCCCCUAGUAACGGCGAGCGAACAGGGAAGAGCUCAAAUUUGAAAUCUGGCGUCCUCCGGGCGUCCGAGUUGUAAUCUAUAGAGACGUUUUCCGUGCCGGACCGUGUCCAAGUUCCUUGGAACAGGAUAUCAAAGAGGGUGACAAUCCCGUACUUGACACGACGACCGGUGCUCUGUGAUACGUUUUCUACGAGUCGAGUUGUUUGGGAAUGCAGCUCAAAAUGGGUGGUGAGUUCCAUCUAAAGCUAAAUAUUGGCGAGAGACCGAUAGCGAACAAGUACCGUGAGGGAAAGAUGAAAAGCACUUUGGAAAGAGAGUUAAACAGUACGUGAAAUUGUUAAAAGGGAAACGAUUGAAGUCAGUCGUGUCUGGGAGGCUCAGCCGGUUCUGCCGGUGUAUUCCUCUCAGACGGGUCAACAUCAGUUUUGUCCGACGGAUAAUGGCGGCGGGAAAGUAGCACCUCCGGGUGUGUUAUAGCCCGCUGUCGCAUACGCCGGAUGAGACUGAGGCAUGCAGCUCGCCUUUAUGGCAGGGGUUCGCCCACUUUCGAGCUUAGGAUGU